AUGUCUUCUUCUUCUUCGACGAGUUUCAAUCUGAAAUUCAGUCAAAACCAAGUAUAAUCUUCACCAAAACCCCUCAAAAGUGAGAUAUAAACUCCUAAACAUAUUCCGAAUUAUUUACAACAACACCCAAUCCAAACAAAUAAUGAUUUUUGAAAAAUCCAAAUUUGAAUUCAAAGCAUUCAAGCUUUUUAAUGGCUAUCAAUGGUAGAAAAUAUAUGGAGAAGGAGAUAUUUAUGCAGCUACAGAUUUACUUCCGU
rnacentral:lncRNA from 1 species